rnacentral:piRNA from 1 species
UAACUGCCAAACUUCACUGUCAUACAAUGGU